UCCGAAUCGACAAUCGGCUCCGUCAGACUUGUGUUGGGCCAAUAAGGCGCGGACAUAUGGUACCCCGGUAUACCAUAGCAGUUAUAUUUAAGAGUGGUAACUUUUGCUGUGCACCGGGCGCAUCGGAAAGAGAGUCCUCGCGUGAAUUAAGGGAGGUUACAGUAACCGCGAGUAGUUACAGGCGAUUUUGAUCGGCUGAAAGUAGCCCGAAAAAUAGGAGUAGUAGCCGAUCAUGGAA
rnacentral:lncRNA from 1 species